GACGAACGCUGGCGGCGUGCCUAAUACAUGCAAGUCGAACGCAGUGGGGACGGGUGAGUAACACGUGGGUAACCUCCCAUCAGAGGGGAUAACACUUGGAAACAGGUGCUAAACCGAUACUGAUGGAUGAACCCGCGGUGCAUUAGCUAGUUGGUGCGGUAACGGCUCACCAAGGGCACGAUGCAUAGCCGACCUGAGGGGGGGGUCGGCCACACUGGGACUGAGCAACGGCCCAGACGCGUACGGCAGGCAGGAGGAGGGAAUCUUCGGUAAUGGACGAAAGGCUGACCGAGCAACGCCGGGUGAGUGAAGAAGUGUUGCGGAUCGUAAAACUCUGGUGUUAGAGAAGCGGUAUCUAACCAGAAAGCCACGGUUAACUACGUGCCAGCAGCCGCGGUAAUA
rnacentral:rRNA from 1 species